AGAGUUUGAUCAUGGCUCAGAUUGAACGCUGGCGGCAUGCCUUACACAUGCAAGUCGAACGGCAGCACGGGAGCAAUCCUGGUGGCGAGUGGCGAACGGGUGAGUAAUGUAUCGGAACGUGCCCAGUCGUGGGGGAUAACGUAGCGAAAGCUACGCUAAUACCGCAUACGAUCUAUGGAUGAAAGCGGGGGAUCGCAAGACCUCGCGCGAUUGGAGCGGCCGAUAUCAGAUUAGGUAGUUGGUGAGGUAAAGGCUCACCAAGCCGACGAUCUGUAGCUGGUCUGAGAGGACGACCAGCCACACUGGGACUGAGACACGGCCCAGACUCCUACGGGAGGCAGCAGUGGGGAAUUUUGGACAAUGGGCGCAAGCCUGAUCCAGCAAUGCCGCGUGCAGGAUGAAGGCCUUCGGGUUGUAAACUGCUUUUGUACGGAGCGAAAAGGCUUCCACUAAUACUGGGGGCUCAUGACGGUACCCGUAGAAUAGCACCGGCUAACUAC
rnacentral:rRNA from 1 species